UGGUCUUCCCCAACUCACCCAGCCCAGCAAACUGACUGAGGCGUUCAAGUACUUCAUCCAGGGGAUGGGCUACAUGGCAUCGUCCAUUAUGACCCGUCUGUCUCGUUCGCGCACCGCCUCACUGUCUUCCUCCUACUCCAUGGACGGGGAGCGUCAGCGUUCUCGUACCCUGUCUCAGAGCUCUCAGGGCGGGCAGAUGCCCCCCAGCCCCUCCCAUACCAUGGAGGUGUCCUGCUGAAGAGAGAGAGAGAGAGAGAGAGAGAGAGAGAUGGAAGGAAGGAGAG